AAAAAGGGCUUCUGUUGUGAGUAUUACAUACUGAGAGAUGGCUGUGGCUUUAUUGUUUUCUGUGCAGAAUUGCUCUCAAGAGAUUUCGGAAGCAUAAUUUUGCUA
rnacentral:snRNA from 1 species